rnacentral:rRNA from 1 species
ACGAGGUUCAAGGGUUAGCAAUAACCUGGAAAACCUAGUGGCGAACGGGUGAGUAACACGUGAGGAACCUACCCCGGACUCAGGGAUAACGGCUGGAAACGGCUGCUAAUACCUGAUGCCGUCGGAGCAUCACAUGGUGCACUGACGAAAGAAUCUCGGUUCGGGAGGGCCUCGCGGCCUAUCAGCUUGUUGGUGGGGUAACGGCCUACCAAGGCAUCGACGGGUAGCUGGUCUGAGAGGAUGAUCAGCCACACUGGGACUGAGACACGGCCCAGACUCCUACGGGAGGCAGCAGUGGGGAAUCUUGCGCAAUGGGCGAAAGCCUGACGCAGCAACGCCGCGUGCGGGAAGAAGGCCCUAGGGUUGUAAACCGCUUUCAGUAGGAACGAAAAUGACGGUACCUGCAGAAGAAGGUGCGGCCAACUACGUGCCAGCAGCCGCG